rnacentral:rRNA from 1 species
AGUUUGAUCCUGGCUCAGGAUGAACGCUGGCGGCGUGCUUAACACAUGCAAGUCGAACGAAGCACUUUUACAGAUUUCUUCGGAAUGAAGUUUUAGCGACUGAGUGGCGGACGGGUGAGUAACGCGUGGGUAACCUGUCUCAAAGAGGGGGACAACAGUUGGAAACGACUGCUAAUACCGCAUAAGCCCACGGCUCGGCAUCGAGCAGAGGGAAAAGGAGCAAUCCGCUUUGAGAUGGCCUCGCGUCCGAUUAGCUAGUUGGUGAGGUAAUGGCCCACCAAGGCGACGAUCGGUAGCCGGACUGAGAGGUUGAACGGCCACAUUGGGACUGAGACACGGCCCAGACUCCUACGGGAGGCAGCAGUGGGGAAUAUUGCACAAUGGGGGAAACCCUGAUGCAGCGACGCCGCGUGGAGGAAGAAGGUCUUCGGAUUGUAAACUCCUGUUGUUGAGGAAGAUAAUGACGGUACUCAACAAGGAAGUGACGGCUAACUACGUGCCAGCAGCCGCGGUAAAACGUAGGUCACAAGCGUUGUCCGGAAUUACUGGGUGUAAAGGGAGCGCAGGCGGGAGAACAAGUUGGAAGUGAAAUCCAUGGGCUCAACCCAUGAACUGCUUUCAAAACUGUUUUUCUUGAGUAGUGCAGAGGUAGGCGGAAUUCCCGGUGUAGCGGUGGAAUGCGUAGAUAUCGGGAGGAACACCAGUGGCGAAGGCGGCCUACUGGGCACCAACUGACGCUGAGGCUCGAAAGUGUGGGUAGCAAACAGGAUUAGAUACCCUGGUAGUCCACACCGUAAACGAUGAUUACUAGGUGUUGGAGGAUUGACCCCUUCAGUGCCGCAGUUAACACAAUAAGUAAUCCACCUGGGGAGUACGACCACAAGGU